AGAAUUACUAGGACGUUCAUUACUUCACCUCUGUUUUCCUAAUUUCUUCUGAUCGUAGGGUCAUAUUUUGACAUCAGUCGCAUGUCUAGAUCCUAUCAUACCAAACAUUCCAUUUUCUUCGAAUGACAUUAUAUCCCCCAAAAGGAAGAAACAACUCAAGCAACCGUAAUUCAAAUGCAGCAUCUAAAGAGAUGUAUGCACUUUUCAUAUAUCCCACUUUGUAAAUCCAUACAACUCUAAUCAGAUUAAAUUCAAAAGAGCCAUCUUUCUAGAUAUAUCAGAGAGGUUUAUAUUCAAAUGAGUUAUCCUAUCAAAAAAGGUUUAAAUUCAAAUAAGUUUAUCCUUGUACGGUUAAGCAUCGGUACCCAGUAAAGCGAAUUAUACGGGGAUGCAUUCAAAUUCAUCAGAAACUAUCAACAUCUUGGACCUCAGACCGCAUCGGCUCAUCAAUUCCUUCGAGGAAGUUGCAGAUAGACAGCGCGUUUUUUUAGUAUCAUCACCGAUCCAAAUAAAUGAAGAAAAGUAGAAAAUAUAAUGGUUCAAAUCGAAACGAAAAGAAGCAAAAAAUGAAGGAAACUAAAAUAAAGCAAGAGAAUUAUAUAGAAAUAUCUCGUGAGCAUCUCAGAGUUGUGAAUCCCCAUGGGUUUUCUUCACUAACAAUCAAAGUGCAAGGAUAACAAUUCAGAUAAAGCUCAUCAUUGAUGCUCACUCUCGUCUCAUAUAACCAAAUAAAAAUUAAUAAUUUGUAGGAAAUGAAAAUAAUAAUAAUAAUAAUUGAGUACCGAUUGGAUCUCAGCAAGCUUAAUGUAUCCUUCAGCUCCAAUUUGGAAAUUUCAGAUAGAUAACGCAGUUUAUUCUCACAUCAUCGAUCCAUGGGAAAAUUAAAACAUAAACAGAAUUCAAAGAGCAAAAUAAGAUCCAGCGAAGAAAUCUUCAGGGCAUAAAGUAAUAAUAAUCGUACUUUUAUAUUCAUACUACUAAUAAUAUGAACGCUAAAUUGUCAGUUAUGACGAUUGAAGAACUUUCAGUGAUUAUGCACUGUGAUGAUUACAGAGAGUUUGGUGCUUGGAGUUAAAAAGGAGGCGAUGGUGAAACCCUAGUUCUCGUGACGAUAAACGACGUCGCUUCAGAAUAUUCAUU
rnacentral:lncRNA from 1 species